ACGUUGGAGAGUUUGAUCCUGGCUCAGGAUGAACGCUGGCGGCGUGCCUAAUGCAUGCAAGUCGAGCGACGCAUACCGGAGGGGUAACCCACUGGUAUGACGGAGCGGCGAACGGGUGAGUAACACGUGAGUAACCUGCCCCA
rnacentral:rRNA from 1 species